AAAGGAAAAGAAAUUCCCCCCAACUUGCAAUUGAAAUUUGUUUGCCAACUCAAACACGAACAUGGGGCACCGGAGCCCCAAAAAACUUGGUCGAAAUUAGACGUGGCAAGCAAGUAAUGGAGACACCAGAAAGGAAAUGCUUAUUAUUUGCAUAAAUUCCACACAUACUCGUGCACAAAGCCGAAAGACCAAAGUGACAGGCUAAAGAGAGGCGAUAUAGAGGAGAGACCCUAAUCGCAUAAAAACGGCUAAAAGAUAACUAUGCUUCUAUCAAAAUAUUAAGGGCUGAUAAAACAAGGUUGCGUACACACUGCAGAAAAGCCAGUAAUUUUCCCCAAAACACGUACUCGAUUCAUAAGCCAACAUAACACAUCGCUGGCACACUUAUGUGUGUGUAGUUUCUC
rnacentral:sRNA from 1 species